UAACGAAUAUAGCAAACUUAUUGAAAGAUAAGGACGCAAAGCCUAUGGAUCUAAGGUCAAUGACUAGGAUAGCCAGGUUGCCGAA
rnacentral:ncRNA from 1 species